rnacentral:tRNA from 1 species
UAGAACUCAGUGGUGCAGUGCCUGCCUGGCAAGCAUGAGGCCCUGGGUUCGAUUCCUGGUA